rnacentral:lncRNA from 1 species
CUUAUGCCUGUCUUCCAACAGGCCCCCACAAGUCUGAGGAAUGUUCUUCCAUCAUUUGGAAGGAUGUUGUGCCAAUGGUGUAUUAAGCCCUCAGAAACCCCCUUCUGGCUUUGGCUGAUGAAAGUUUUCUACACAAACCUAAGUGCAACUGGUUUGGAAGAUAUUAAUGAUCCCAUAAACUAUUUGGCAAUUUGAACUGUCAUCAAUCACUCAGGAUCAUCUGGCUUCAUGAAGGAGGAUCUGAUUUGGUGUGAAGAAAAGCCAACUUUGAUUUUAGCCUAUUGAUUUUGUAACUUCAGAAACCUCAUUGAGACUCAUAUGUAAAAUGGGACCCUUACAUUAGUUCCCUGCCAAGAUUGUUGUAAGCAUGAAUUCAGAUAUUGACUAUAAAAUGCUGUGUAACUAUACAGAA